rnacentral:rRNA from 1 species
GUGGGGAAUCUUCCGCAAUGGGCGAAAGCCUGACGGAGCAACGCCGCGUGAGUGAAGAAGGCCUUCGGGUCGUAAAGCUCUGUCUUCAGGGACGAAAAGGCAGGGGAGUAAUAUGCCCUUGUUGUGACGGUACCUGAGGAGGAAGCUUCGGCUAACUACGUGCCAGCAGCCGCGGUAAUACGUAGGGAGCGAGCGUUGUCCGGAAUUACUGGGCGUAAAGGGCGCGUAGGCGGGAAUUUAAGUAAGGUGUGAAAACUCCGGGCUCAACCUGGAGAGUGCACUUUAAACUGGAUUUCUUGAGGGCAAGAGAGGAAAGUGGAAUUCCUAGUGUAGCGGUGAAAUGCGUAGAUAUUAGGAGGAACGCCAGUGGCGAAGGCGACUUUCUGGACUGUACCUGACGCUGAGGCGCGAAAGCGUGGGGAGCGAACAGGAUUAGAAACCCGGGUAGUCC